rnacentral:rRNA from 1 species
UGAAUACGAGACGCUAAGGCGUCGAAGUAGUGUAUAUCAUACUUCCAAGAAAAGCUUGCAAUGUCAUAGAUAAAAAACGCCUGUACCAUAACCGACACAGGUGGGUAGGUAGAGUAUACUAAGGGGCGCGAGAUAACUCUCUCUAAGGAACUCGGCAAAAUAACUCCGUAACUUCGGGAGAAGGAGUGCCUUAUUCGUAAGGUUGCAAUAACAAGAUCCAAGCAACUGUUUAUCAAAAACACAGGUCUCCGCUAAGUCGCAAGACGAUGUAUGGGGGCUGACGCCUGCCCAGUGCCAGAAGGUUAAAGAAGUUGGUUAGCAAUUGCGAAGCUGAUAACUGAAGCCCUGGUGAACGGCGGCCGUAACUAUAACGGUCCUAAGGUAGCGAAAUUCCUUGUCGGGUAAGUUCCGACCCCACGAAAGGCGUAAUGAUUUGGAUACUGUCUCGGAGAGGGGCUCGGUGAAAUAGACUUGUCUGUGAAGAUGCGGACUACCUGCACCAGGACAGAAAGACCCUAUGAAGCUUUACUGUAACUUGAAGUUGAAAUUGAACUUUAUUCGCGCAGUAUAGGUGGGAGGCGUUGAUUAUAAUCUUGCGGGAUUAUUGGAGCCAUCAGUGAGAUACCACUCUUGUAAUGUUAGAUUUCUAACUUUGAAUCAUUAUCUGGUCAAAGAACAGUUUCAGGCGGGCAGUUUGACUGGGGCGGUCGCCUCCUAAACAGUAACGGAGGCGUACAAAGGUUUCCUCUGAACGGUUAGAAAUCGUAUCUAGAGUGUAAAGGCAUAAGGAAGCUUGACUGUGAGACCUACAAGUCGAGCAGGGACGAAAGUCGGUCUUAGUGAUCUGACGGUACUGAGUGGAAAGGCCGUCACUCAACGGAUAAAAGUUACUCUAGGAUAACAGGCUGAUCUCCCCCAAGAGUUCACAUCGACGGGGAGGUUUGGCACCUGAUGUCGGCUCAUCGCAUCCUGGGGCGGUAGUACGUCCCAAGGGUUGGGCUGUUCGCCCAUGAAAGCGGUACGCGAGCUGGGUUCAGAACGUCGUGAGACAGUUCGGUCCAUAUCCGGUGUAGGCGUUAGAAUAUUGAGAGGAGCCUUCUUUAGUACGAGAGGACCGAGAAGGACAUACCUCUGGUGUACCAGUUAUCGUGCCAACGGUAAACGCUGGGUAGCUAUGUAUGGAGUGGAUAACCGCUGAAAGCAUCUAAGUGGGAAGCCCACCUCAAGAUAAGUAUUCUCAUCACGAAAGUGAGUAAGGUCACGGUAAGACUAACCGUUAGAUAGGCAUUAAGUGUAAGUACAGUAAUGUAUGUGCUGAGAUGUCCUAAUAGACCGAGGACUUG